CCCCCGAUGGUCUAGUUGGAUAUGGCGUUCGGCUGUAAUGGUGUACACAUAUAACCGAAAGGUCGCCGGCUCGAUUCCGGCUCGGGGGA
rnacentral:tRNA from 1 species